CCUACGGGUGGCAGCAGUGAGGAAUAUUGGUCAAUGGCCGGAAGGCUGAACCAGCCAUGCCGCGUGAAGGUCAGUGCCCUAUGGGCGUUAAACUUCUUUUGUGCGGGCGCAAUAAUGGUCACGUGUGGCCAGACGAGAGUACCGUACGAAUAAGCAUCGGCUAACUCCGUGCUAGCAGCCGCGGUAAUACGGGGGAUGCGAGCGUUAUGCGGAUUUAUUGGGUUUAAAGGGUGCGUAUGCUGUGAGGAAAGUCAGCGGUGAAAUGCCCCCGCUCAACGGGGUGAAGUGCCAUUGAUACUGCCUUGCUUGAAUGCGAAUGCCGUGGGAGGAAUGUGUGGUGUAGCGGUGAAAUGCAUAGAUAUCACACAGAACACCGAUUGCGAAGGCAUCUCACGAAGCCGCGAUUGACGCUGAUGCACGAAAGCGUGGGUAUCAAACAGGAUUAGAUACCCGAGUAGUC
rnacentral:rRNA from 1 species